AUUGAACGCUGGCGGCAUGCCUUACACAUGCAAGUCGAACGGCAGCGGGCCUUCGGGUGCCGGCGAGUGGCGAACGGGUGAGUAAUGCAUCGGAACGUGCCAUUGAGUGGGGGAUAACGUAGCGAAAGUUGCGCUAAUACCGCAUAUUCUGUGAGCAGGAAAGCAGGGGACCGCAAGGCCUUGCGCUCUUUGAGCGGCCGAUGUCAGAUUAGCUAGUUGGUGAGGUAAAGGCUCACCAAGGCGACGAUCUGUAGCGGGUCUGAGAGGAUGAUCCGCCACACUGGAACUGAGACACGGUCCAGACUCCUACGGGAGGCAGCAGUGGGGAAUUUUGGACAAUGGGGGCAACCCUGAUCCAGCCAUGCCGCGUGAGUGAAGAAGG
rnacentral:rRNA from 1 species